CCCACUGGCCGGUGGGCAGCCUGCCCCAGAACUCCCUGUACCCGGUGGAGGCCACGGCCUAUGCGCUGAUGCAGAAGCUGGAGCUGGGCCUGCACAAUGACACGGACGCCAUCAACAAGUGGCUGCUGGAGAAACGAGAGCUGGGAGGCGGCUUCGGGUCCACUCAGGUGACGGGCCUCGGGAGGCGCCAGGGCGCUAACCAGUGCUGCCCGACCCCGGAAGGAGCUGUCCGUGGUGCUGGCGCCCCGGGCCGGCGCUCGGCGCUGUCUGUGGUGCUGAUCUGAGGUCCCCACCCCGCCUCGCAGACCACGGUGGUGACCCUGGAAGCCCUGACCCGCUUCAGCUUAGCUGUCCCCUUCGAGGGCAUCCAGGAUCUCCAGGUCCAGAUCAGCACCCCCUGCAGGUCCCUGCACAAGCGGCGGCUCAUUGACCAGAACCGCGCUCGCCCUGCGCUCCAGCACCUGCAGGUCCCGGGCGCGGAGGACCUGGAGAUGAAAGCCAGCGGCCGCGGCAGAGGCACCAUCUCGGCCCGUGUCCCCACACCGUGCUGUUGAGGAUCAGGUGUCAAGAAGUGAACUGGGGGAGACACAAACAUUCACGCCACAGGACCCCCCCUGGGGUCCCUAACUGGACAGAGCCCAAGUCCCCUCGUUGGUGGGGACAGGGGCAGGUCCAAUGCUCCAAGGCAAGGCCCAAACCAGCAAGGAUCCAGGCACCAUCAAGGCACCAACAUUUGCCAGGAACCAGCUGAGGACAACUCAAAGGCCCAGGGAAGGAGGUGAAGGUGGAGCUCCAUUCAGCAGAUCCUGACCAUGUACCACCGGUCUCCGGAAUCCUGGGAGGACAGUUGCAACAUGUACCAUCUCAAUGUGACACUCCAGAGUGCCCCAGAAGAAAAUAAAAAGGGGGAGGAGACUUCCAGCUCCGAAUGGAAACAAGGCAAGACAUGCCAGUGGGGAGCAUGGGGACAGAGGCAGAGGACAGCUGGAAGAGCCGAGGGCUGUGAAAUCCGCAGGUUCCAGGGCAACCGGGUGGCCACCAUGACCAUCAUGGAGAUCUCAAUGCUCACCGGCUUCUACCCCAACUAGGAUGACCUCAAACAGCUCACCAGCGACGUGGAGAUGUAUGCGUUCCAGUAUGAGACCAAGGCCAGUACCAGUAACAGCUCAGUCGUUCUCUACCUGGAAAAGGUGAGGCCGAAGAUAGCGACCCCACAGGGACACUCCUGGCUGGGGUCUGCAGAGAGCCACUCCCUCUGGUCCGGUUGCCUGUAGUCAAGGCCACGUGGUUAGUGGCUAUGGGCAAUCGUCGGCACCACGAGGUCAGUGCCCGUGGUCACUCAGCUGGACUCUCCCCACCUGCCCCCACCUCCCGCCACCUGCACAGCUCUCCCACAGGGAAGGCCCGGUGCUGGGCUUCCGGGUGCACAGGAUGCUGC